CAAAGAAUGGAAAGAGGAUACAAUUUCUACAAUCUUCAGUUGCACGAAAAGUGUAACUGCUAUAUGCUUUGCAAUUCUUGUCGAUAGAGGUCUGCUCAAAUAUUCCGAUAAAGUCACGAAAUACUGGCCAGAAUUUGGACAGAAUGGGAAACAAGAUAUCACCAUUGAGAUGGUUCUUUCUCAUACGGUAAGAACAAAUUAUUUGAAAAUUAAAUCAAAAUUCCUGAUAAGUUUCAAGGCAGGCCUUCCAUACUUCCCAGGAGUAAAGUUCACAGAAGAAGAUCUCACUGAUAAUAACAAGCUUUCUCAUAUGAUUGAGAACUUAAAGCCCGUUUUUGCACCGGGUACACGAACUGCAUAUCACGCACUUACAUUUGGAUGGCUCACUGAUCAGGUAACUUAGGAAAAUAUGAAUUGAAAAUUAAAAAAAAGUUUUUUAGAUUUUCCGGAGAGUCGAUUCACAGAAAAGAACUGUGGGACAAUUUUUCAAGGAUGAAAUAGCCACAAAACAUUGUAAGCUAUUUCUCAGUUUUUCUGCUUUAGGGCUUUCUUUAUAUCAAAUCAAUAAAUUUACAGAUAUCGAUAUUCAUAUCGGAGAGUGUUCAAAUGAAGAGAAUCGUCUUGCUAGACUAUUCAAGUGCCCUGCAACUCUUGUUAGCCGAGAAAUCGCCUAUGAUCGUUCGAUCUUGAAACUAGCUCGAUACUACUACAAUCCACGUGGCCUGUUCGCAGCAGCCAGACGGAAUCUGAGUCUUCAUGGAUCUGACUUCACAAUGUUUAAUAAUAGUGAUUUGAGAGUAGUUGGGCAGCCUGCAGUCAAUGGAAUUGGGUCAGCGAGAGCAAUGGCACAGUUACACCAGCUAGUUCUUGAUGGGACACUUCUUUCGAAGGAGACUUUUGAUG
rnacentral:sRNA from 1 species